UACGGAGGGUGCGAGCGUUGUCCGGAAUCAUUGGGCGUAAAGCGCGCGUAGGCGGCCAGAUAAGUCCGGUGUGAAAGUCACAGGCUCAACCUGUGAAUGCCGCUGGAAACUGUCUGGCUAGAGUCCGGAAGGGGCGAGUGGAAUUCCUGGUGUAGCGGUGAAAUGCGCAGAUAUCAGGAGGAACACCAAUGGCGAAGGCAGCUCGCUGGAACGGUACUGACGCUGAGGCGCGAAAGCGUGGGGAGCGAACAGG
rnacentral:rRNA from 1 species